rnacentral:rRNA from 1 species
UACGAGGGGGGCAAGCGUUGUUCGGAAUUAUUGGGCGUAAAGGGCGCGUAGGCGGUGCGGCAAGUCAGGUGUGAAACCUCCAGGCUCAACUUGGAGCUUGCAUCUGAAACUGCCGUGCUAGAGUGUGGGAGAGGAGAGUGGAAUUCCUGGUGUAGCGGUGAAAUGCGUAGAUAUCAGGAGGAACACCGGUGGCGAAGGCGGCUCUCUGGACCACAACUGACGCUGAGGCGCGAAAGCUAGGGGAGCAAACAGG